rnacentral:rRNA from 1 species
GACGAACGCUGGCGGCGUGCUUAACACAUGCAAGUCGAACGGAAAGGCCCUGCUUUUGUGGGAUGCUCGAGUGGCGAACGGGUGAGUAACACGUGAGUAACCUGCCCUUGACUUUGGGGUACCUUCAGGAAACUGGGGCUAAUACCGGAUAUAAGCUCCUGCUGCAUGGUGGUGGUUGGAAAGAUUCGGCGGUUGGGGAUGGACUCGCGGCUUAUCAGCUUGUUGGUGGGGUAGUGGCUUAAAAAGGCAUUGACGGGUAGCCGGCCUGGGAGGGUGACCGGCCACAUUGGGACUGAGAUACGGCCCAGACUGCUACGGGAGGCAGCAGUGGGGAAUAUUGCACAAUGGGCGGAAGCCGGAUGCAGCAACGCCGCGUGCGGGAUGACGGCCUUCGGGUUGUAAACCGCUUUCGCCUGUGACGAAGCGUGAGUGACGGUAAUGGGUAAAGAAGCACCGGCUAACUACGUG